UACGGAGGGUGCGAGCGUUGUUCGGAAUCACUGGGCGUAAAGCGCGUGUAGGCGGCCCAUUAAGUCUGAUGUGAAAGCCCGGGGCUCACCCCCGGAAGUGCAUUGGAGACUGAUGGACUCGAGUCCCGGAGAGGAGAGUGGAAUUCCUGGUGUAGCGGUGAAAUGCGUAGAUAUCAGGAGGAACACCGGUGGCGAAGGCGGCUCUCUGGACGGUGACUGACGCUGAGACGCGAAAGCGUGGGGAGCAAACAGG
rnacentral:rRNA from 1 species